rnacentral:rRNA from 1 species
GUCUUAACCGGGCGUUAAGUUGCAGGGUAUAGACCCGAAACCCGGUGAUCUAGCCAUGGGCAGGUUGAAGGUUGGGUAACACUAACUGGAGGACCGAACCGACUAAUGUUGAAAAAUUAGCGGAUGACCUGUGGCUGGGGGUGAAAGGCCAAUCAAACCGGGAGAUAGCUGGUUCUCCCCGAAAGCUAUUUAGGUAGCGCCUCGUGAAUUCAUCUCCGGGGGUAGAGCACUGUUUCGGCUAGGGGGCCAUCCCGGCUUACCAACCCGAUGCAAACUGCGAAUACCGGAGAAUGUUAUCACGGGAGACACACGGCGGGUGCUAACGUCCGUCGUGAAGAGGGAAACAACCCAGACCGCCAGCUAAGGUCCCAAAGUCAUGGUUAAGUGGGAAACGAUGUGGGAAGGCCCAGACAGCCAGGAUGUUGGCUUAGAAGCAGCCAUCAUUUAAAGAAAGCGUAAUAGCUCACUGGUCGAGUCGGCCUGCGCGGAAGAUGUAACGGGGCUAAACCAUGCACCGAAGCUGCGGCAGCGAACGUAUCACCCAAGACAACUUUACGGAGUUGACGAUUGACGGAGCGAAGCGACGUCAAAGCGUUCAUUAAAGUCGAGUUGGCUUAGGGAUACGUUCGUUGGGUAGGGGAGCGUUCUGUAAGCCUGUGAAGGUGUGUCGUGAGGCAUGCUGGAGGUAUCAGAAGUGCGAAUGCUGACAUAAGUAACGAUAAAGCGGGUGAAAAGCCCGCUCGCCGGAAGACCAAGGGUUCCUGUCCAACGUUAAUCGGGGCAGGGUGAGUCGACCCCUAAGGCGAGGCCGAAAGGCGUAGUCGAUGGGAAACGGGUUAAUAUUCCCGUACUUGGUGUUACUGCGAAGGGGGGACGGAGAAGGCUAUGUUGGCCGGGCGACGGUUGUCCCGGUUUAAGCGUGUAGGUGUGUGUUCCAGGUAAAUCCGGUUCACUUUAACACUGAGGCGUGACGACGAGGCACUACGGUGCUGAAGCAACAAAUGCCCUGCUUCCAGGAAAA